rnacentral:rRNA from 1 species
AGUGAACGCUGGCGGUAGGCCUAACACAUGCAAGUCGAACGGCAGCACAGUAAGAGCUUGCUCUUACGGGUGGCGAGUGGCGGACGGGUGAGGAAUACAUCGGAAUCUACUUUUUCGUGGGGGAUAACGUAGGGAAACUUACGCUAAUACCGCAUACGACCUACGGGUGAAAGCAGGGGAUCUUCGGACCUUGCGCGAUUGAAUGAGCCGAUGUCGGAUUAGCUAGUUGGCGGGGUAAAGGCCCACCAAGGCGACGAUCCGUAGCUGGUCUGAGAGGAUGAUCAGCCACACUGGAACUGAGACACGGUCCAGACUCCUACGGGAGGCAGUAGUGGGGAAUAUUGGACAAUGGGCGCAGGCCUGAUCCAGCCAUACCGCGUGGGUGAAGAAGGCCUUCGGGUUGUAAAGCCCUUUUGUUGGGAAAGAAAAGCAGCAGGUUAAUACCCCGCUGUUCUGACGGUACCCAAAGAAUAAGCACCGGCUAACUUCGU